rnacentral:rRNA from 1 species
CCUACGGGAGGCUGCAGUGAGGAAUAUUGGUCAAUGGACGAGAGUCUGAACCAGCCAAGUAGCGUGAAGGAUGACUGCCCUAUGGGUUGUAAACUUCUUUUAUAAAGGAAUAAAACGAGGCACGUGUGCCUUUUUUCAUGUCCUUUAUGAAUAAGGAUCGGCUAACUCCGUGCCAGCAGCCGCGGUAAUACGGAGGAUCCGAGCGUUAUCCGGAUUUAUUGGGUUUAAAGGGAGCGUAGAUGGGUUGUUAAGUCAGUUGUGAAAGUUUGCGGGUCAACCGUAAAAUUGCAAUUGAUACUGGCAGUCUUGAGUACAGUUGAGGUAGGCGGAAUUCGUGGUGUAGCGGUGAAAUGCUUAGAUAUCACGAAGAACCCCGAUUGCGAAGGCAGCUUACUAAACUGUGACUGACAUUGAUGCUCGAAAGUGUGGGUAUCAAACAGGAUUAGAUACCCUAGUAGUC